rnacentral:rRNA from 1 species
CGGACUUGCAGAGAUGGUUUGGUGCCUUCGGGAACUCUGAGACAGGUGCUGCAUGGCUGUCGUCAGCUCGUGUUGUGAAAUGUUGGGUUAAGUCCCGCAACGAGCGCAACCCUUAUCCUUUGUUGCCAGCGGUUCGGCCGGGAACUCAAAGGAGACUGGCAGGGAUAAACUGGAGGAAGGGGGGGAUGACCUCCAGUCAUCAUGGCCCUUACCAAUAGGGGUACCCACGUGCUACAAUGGGGCAUACCAAGAGAAGCGACCUCCCGAGAACAAGCGGACCUCAUAAAGUGCGUCGUAAUCCGGAUUGGAAUCUGCCACUCCACUCCCUGAAGUCCGAAUCCCUAGUAAUCCUAAAUCAAAAUGCUACCGUGAAUACCUUCCCGGGUCUUGACCCCCCCGAA